GUCGUCGUGGCCGAGUGGUUAAGGCGAUAGACUAGAAAUCUAUUUGGGUCUCCCGCCCAGGUUAGAAUCCUGCCGACGACG
rnacentral:tRNA from 1 species